rnacentral:lncRNA from 1 species
CACGAUCACAGUUCACCACAGCCUCAGUCUCCUGGGCUCAGGUGGUCCUACCACCUCAGCCUCCCAAGUAGCUGGAACUACAGUCACGUGCCACUAUGCUCGGCUAAUUUUUGUAUUUUUUGUAGAGAUGGAGUUUUGCUGUGUUGCCCAGGCUGGUCUAGAACUCCUGGAGUCAAGUGAUCCUUUCAUGUCGGCCUCCCAAACUGAUGGGAUUACCAGAGGAAAGAAACCAAGUUUCCGGAGAUAGCUGUCGUUAAUUGAAGUUAGAUCACACGGCCUCACAUUCCUUAACCGCAGAGCAUUGAAUGCAAUGUUCUGGAUCACAUCAGCUGCCGGUGUAGCCCUAUCACACGUACCUAAUAAAAUGUAUUUGAUUUGAUGUCUGACUAUUAAUGAACAUCUGUGAGAUACAACUUGGAAUUCAACUUGUUUAUUUAACUAUGGAAAGAAAUUCUACCUUUGAUUAAAAACAAUCUUUUUUUUUCUUAUGAUAAUGGUUGCCUCCUCCCUCAAAGUUUCUUCCUUCAUCUAUCC